AAGGAUCUCACUGCCCUUUGGUCCCUUGAUUCGAAGGGGAAUGUUAAUGGUGCUGUUGAGACUUGUGGAGAGAGCUUCCAUCAUUUUGAUCGAUUGCGCAUCAGCCUAGCAUAUAUGUCCUAGACACUCCAGGUGUAUUGGUUCCAAGUAUCCCUGACAUUGAGACAGGACUGAAGCUAGCUCUUGCAGGAAUCAUCCUCUUGCAAAUAAUUUCUCCUAACUUUUAGUUUAAGAUAUGCUAAACCAUGCUUGACUGUUGUAAACGGACAAAAAUAAGUGCCACCUCUCUCCAACCACUAUUAAGAGAAGCCAUAUCCUUACUCAACCGGAGUUGAUUUGGUUGCAACAAACUAACUGGAUCAGCUUAAGUAAUGUUGGUUGAGGCCUAAAAGUUUUAUGCUUGAAGUUGUGUUGGUUUAAUCCUCUUGUUGACCUCCAACCAACACAGGUUGCCCAAACUACAGCUAGUAAAAUUUUCAACCCUGGCGUCUUAAAUUUUA